GCCAGGUUGGCUUAGUGGUUUGAGUGUUUGACUAUGACUCUGGAAACCAGGAUUCGAUUUCCAGCUCAGACA